GAUGAACGCUGGCGGCGUGCCUAAUACAUGCAAGUCGAGCGAACGGACGAGAAGCUUGCUUUUCUGAUGUUAGCGGCGGACGGGUGAGUAACACGUGGAUAACCUACCUAUAAGACUGGGAUAACUUCGGGAAACCGGAGCUAAUACCGGAUAAUAUUUUGAACCGCAUUGUUCAAAAGUGAAAGACGGUCUUGCUGUCACUUAUAGAUGGAUCCGCGCUGCAUUAGCUAGUUGGUAAGGUAACGGCUUACCAAGGCAACGAUGCAUAGCCGACCUGAGAGGGUGAUCGGCCACACUGGAACUGAGACACGGUCCAGACUCCUACGGGAGGCAGCAGUAGGGAAUCUUACGCAAUGGGCGAAAGCCUGACGGAGCAACGCCGCGUGAGUGAUGAAGGUCUUCGGAUCGUAAAACUCUGUUAUUAGGGAAGAACAUAUGUGUAAGUAACUGUGCACAUCUUGACGGUACCUAAUCAGAAAGCCACGGCUAACUACGUG
rnacentral:rRNA from 1 species